GGAAGGGUUACAGCUCAGUGGCAGAUCAUCUGCUUUGCAUGUAGAAGGUCACAGGUUCAAUCUCCGGCAUCUCCA